GUGUCAGCAGCCGCGGUAAUAGGAAGGGGGCUAGCGUUGCUCGGAAUUACUGGGCGUAAAGGGAGCGUAGGCGGAUAGUUUAGUCAGAGGUGAAAGCCCAGGGCUCAACCUUGGAAAUGCCUUUGAUACUGGCUAUCUUGAGUAUGGGAGAGGUAAGCGGAAUUCCGAGUGUAGAGGUGAAAUUCGUAGAUAUUCGGAAGAACACCAGUGGCGAAGGCGGCUUACUGGCCCAUUACUGACGCUGAGGCUCGAAAGCGUGGGGAGCAAACAGGAUUAGAAACCCUCGUAGUCC
rnacentral:rRNA from 1 species